rnacentral:rRNA from 1 species
AGUGAACGCUGGCGGUAGGCCUAACACAUGCAAGUCGAACGGCAGCACAGUAAGAGCUUGCUCUUACGGGUGGCGAGUGGCGGACGGGUGAGGAAUACAUCGGAAUCUACUUUUUCGUGGGGGAUAACGUAGGGAAACUUACGCUAAUACCGCAUACGACCUACGGGUGAAAGCAGGGGAUCUUCGGACCUUGCGCGAUUGAAUGAGCCGAUGUCGGAUUAGCUAGUUGGCGGGGUAAGGCCCACCAAGGCGACGAACCGUAGCUGGUCUGAGAGGAUGAUCAGCCACACUGGAACUGAGACACGGUCCAGACUCCUACGGGAGGCAGCAGUGGGGAAUAUUGGACAAUGGGCGCAAGCCUGAUCCAGCCAUACCGCGUGGGUGAAGAAGGCCUUCGGGUUGUAAAGCCCUUUUGUUGGGAAAGAAAAGCAGCAGGUUAAUACCCCGCUGUUCUGACGGUACCCAAAGAAUAAGCACCGGCUAACUUCGUG